rnacentral:rRNA from 1 species
GACGAACGCUGGCGGCGUGCUUAACACAUGCAAGUCGAACGGAAAGGCCCUGCUUUUGUGGGGUGCUGGAGUGGCGAACGGGUGAGUAACACGAGAGUAACCUACCCUGGACUUUGGGAUAACUUAAGGAAACUGGGGCUAAUCCCGGAUAGGAGCUCCUGCGGCAGGGUGGGGGUUGGAAAGUUUAGGCGGUUGGGGAUGGGCUCGCGGCUUAUCAGGGUGUUGGUGGUGUGGUGGCUUACGAAGGCUUUGACGGGUGGCCGGCCUGAGAGGGUGGACGGUCACACGGGGACUGGGACACGGUCGGGACUCCUACGGGGGGCAGGAGGGGGGAGGAUAGAACAGUGGGGGGAAGCGUGAUGCAGCGACGCGGCGGGAGAGAUGGAGGCCUUCGGGUUGUGAACCUCUUUCGCCAGUGAAGCGGGCCUGCCUGGUUUGUGGGUGGGUUGACGGUAGCUGGAUAAGAAGCGCCGGCUAACUACGUG